UUUAUUACUUAAUAUCAUUAAUUGUCAUAUUUAUUGAAAAUCACAUUAAAUGAUUAUAUAUAUGACUUUUAUUUAAGUAAAGAUGAAGUAGAUUUUUUUUGAACAUUUAAUUAAUGAGUGGUCCACUUUAUUAUAUAUAUAUAUAUAUUGUGACAAUUAAGAACAUUAUAUCACACAUAUGCAUUGUAUUUAAUGUUACAACUCAAAAGAUGUUUCUCAAUCUAUAUACUAUUAAAGUAGAAUCUCAACUAGGAUUCUGCAAUUAAUUUUGAAAUAAUUUAUGGUUAACAACUUUGAUUUCUUUUUUUAGUUAUUAAGAAAAUAAAAUGACCAUCUAAACUACUUACCUUCGCCUACUAAUAGUCUAAUACGUACCUAAUAUUUAUAUCAAAUAUACCAACAAAUCUGGACCAUACAAUUAAUGUACCAUCCACCUGAAAAAAGGAUUAAUAUUAUAAAUGUUCUUAUCUCUAUUGAUUUUCGUUAGUUACUAUUUCUAUUAGUUAUAAAACUCUGACGGCCAUUAAUAUCUUUUUGACAAAUGUGGAAUCAUAUACCAAAUGCUUAGAUUUUAUUAUUUGGCCAUGAUUUAACUUACAUAACAAUAAUAACAAAGGAAAUAAUGUAAAAUGGAACUCAAUAAUAUUACCAUAUGAUUAUAACAGCUUCCAUUUUAUUUUAUUUUUAAAUCAUAGAAACAACUGUAAAUUAAAUGAUCAAUAUAUGUUAUUUGAAUAAAAUAAAAAUACGUCAUGUGAUUCUGAAAUGUAAGAAAAUUGUAACAAACUUUUUUUAAACACCAUAAACUUAUUUGAACAUAUUAAAUUUAUAUAAAGCUUAAAAUCCACAAUUACCUAACAUAAACGUCAAAAAAAAUUUAAAAUAAUUUUGGAAAUUUUAUUUAAAAUACUUUAAAUGAGUCUAAACGGGUAUAAAUGAGUUAAUAAAAUAAUUACAUGACUAACUAGACAAUUUUAAAUUAAAUGGAUAUAAAGAGUAAUAAGCUUAAACGGGUCUACACAUUUUAACAUUAUUAACACAACAUUAGAUUUUCACAACAUAAUGAGUGUUAAAAUAUAGUUACUAAUAUAUAAGAGAUGACUAAUGAGUGUUACACUCUUUGACACAUAAGCAUUGUAAUUAAUGUUAUAACUUAAAAGAUGAUUCUCAAUUAAUAUAUAAGAGAUUAUUUGUAUUUUCUGUUGAUUAAAUAAAAUUUUGAAAAUAAAAAUAAAUAGUAUUUUUAUAUUUGAUUAAUUAAAUACUUCUCAAAAUGUAUGUUUGUUUUUAUAUAUAUAAUCAGAAUGUGUGAAGACAAAUCAUAAAAAGUUAAAAAGAAUAUUUGAAACACAAUCCAAAUAUUUAGAGAUCAAAAAUGGCUAUCACAAAAAAAACUUUAAUCACAUUUGUUUUUACCAUCAUUUUUAUCGUAUCUUCUGUUCAUUGUCUUACUACAGGUUAUGGAGAAAUUAAGUCAGAGAUUUGCAUCAGCUCCAUGUCACCGUGUACUUGGGUAGUGCGACGAUAUUCCACUCCGGACGCACUAUGUAACCAAAUGUGUAUGAGAGGUAAAAACAAGCCCGGACAUUGUGUUAAUAGAAAAUGUUGUUGUAUUUUUUAAGUACAUGUCUAAGAUGAAAUCAUCUUAGCAUAUGUUUUUAAAUAUCUAUAACAGAAGAUCUAGAACAAAAUAAACAAUAUUUACCAGA